rnacentral:lncRNA from 1 species
GCACCCCAGCCUGGGCAACAGAGUGAGACUCUGUCUCACUCUGUUGCACAGUUUACAACAACAAAACUAUAGCAUCCAUCACAUAGAGGAGAGACUCCCCAACACACAUAUAAGGAUUACUCUCAGCCCCAGCUCCCUCAAACUUCCUAAGAUCAGCACUGGUAUCUGAUGGUGGCUCCUUGUAAAUCAAACUUAAUGGAGUAUGUGUUAUUUGGUUUAUGUUUAUGUGCAGCCUGCAUAACAACCACUCUGUCAACAUCAUGCAUAUGUUCAUUGUGUUGGUACUAGAAGACUCUAUGACACACACAAGCUGAUGUCAUCUGAUGGGUCUAUUUUAUCUACUUGGCUGUGCAAAUCCUCUUCUGUAGUAUAUGCUUUCUGGUGGACACUAAUAUGGAACACAAAGAUCUUCUCACAUUGCAGCUGCUCCCAUAUAUCCAUUGAUAUAUGCCUCUAACUCCAGACCUUUUUGUCCUUAAUCUUCUAAUCCGGUUAUCUCUUUUCCUUUAGUGCAAUUUUUCCUUAUUUGUUUGUUUUGUUUUUUUUUUUAAGUAAAUAGCUAGGCUUCUAAGCCCUACCACAGAGAGUCAACAGACAAACUGCCCAGGGAAAAGUUAUGACCUCAGGCAAAGUGAAUUUCUACAGCUAAGGCAGAUCCUGAAGAAGCUCACAAAUAAAGGCUGCAUACUCACACAUUCCCUGAAGCUUGACAGUGCCAGCCACCAUACUGUGAGGGAGCUGAAGUAAGCCCACAUGAGGAAGAAUUGAGGUCCCAAGCCAACAGCUGCAGCUAAGAUCCAAGCUCUCAACCAGUACCAGUUCAUCCGUUAUGCACACUAAGAUAUGGAAGCUAAAAGAGGACUAAGAGGAUUCUGGGGAUAUUACAAGAUAUUGCAGACUAUCUUGUUUUCCUGGAAAAGGAUUUUACCUCAGUCGACUGAAUUACUUUUUUCACUGUGUCUUGCCACUCUUCGUGCAUGCAUCAAAGACCCUAAUAUGACUUCUGGUGGCCUGGGACUCCUUGGGAAAACAGAAAAGGGGCCACAAAUCCCAUUUUGGGAACAAUCUGUUUUACUCAUGGAACCCCUGGAAUUAGAGAUACAACUGGAGAAACUGUUCUGUGGAGGCUUUGAGUGGAAGGGUGUGCUUCCCUUUAAGGAAUCAAGCUUGAUUUGCAAAGCCAAUAAAACCCCCUUAAGAAAACUGGCCUCCUACCUGUCUACACAGUCUCUGUACAAGAUUACUGACCUGUGGUGAGCAAAAAAAUGUCACUUUCUAACAGACCUAGGAACUCCAUGCUUCUAAAAUCUCAGGAAGAAAAAAGUUUAUCCAACUCACAGUUAUUUGUAGAUACAAACCCAUGGCUGGGCUUGGUUUUAAAAAGUCCGAUCUGAAAUUCCUUGUGGAACAGAGAGUUCCAUCAAAGCCAAUCAAAAAGGCCUAUAUAGAGGUGAUUAUUCUUGCUUCAUUUUAUGCAAAUAAUCAGGCCAAGUAUACAACUAAAGUUUACUUUGCAAACAGCUAAGUCCUAUCAUAAGUUGUUUUUUAACAAAAUGAGGACUAGAGAGACAGAAAUUAUGUUUCAAAAUUUAUCAUACAUCUGUCAUUGGAUUCAAGUCUCAUUAGUCAUUUUUAAAUUCUUGUCUACAUUUUAAACUAACCAUGCUAAUUCUUGUAAUCCAACCACAUCUCCAGCUGUGGCUCAAACAAAACAGAAAGUGAUAGGUAAUGUAAAAAUCUCGAACAAUGUUCUGGCUGGGCAAUUAUCCUAUAAAUCUUGCUAGGUAGCCUAUAACCCCAAGGUUUUCUUUUUUUGGGAAAGUAAGAUCAAGAAAGUUUAAAAAAGCCUAGCCCCAUACACUCACUUAAAACAGCACAACCCAUCUAAAUGGCUUACAGGUAUCAAAUAAACUCUGUUGUCAUGGUUAUGGCCUAUAGUGCCCCCACUAAUAAUGGUAGUCUUAAUACUCAUAUUUUAACCCUAUAUUCUAAACCUCCUUGUAAAGUUUACUUCUUCUCACCUAGAAACCAUCAAGCUUUAAAUGGUGUGGCAAAAGGAGCUGAAAAUUAAACUGACCUUCUACUGCAUACCCUUAAAUUGACCCAGGAGGAGCCCUAGCUGCUAUUCCCAUGCCACGCCCCUCUCCAGCAGGAAGUAGCCAGAAGCUGCUCCAAGUACAGAAAACCCUUUGAAGUCACUUGGAACUUUGUGCUCCGAUGAGGCCUGAAGGACAUGCAAAGUAAGAAACAUGGCCAUGCUUGCAAAUAAGCAAAAACUGAUCUAUGGCAGUUUUGCAGAAGAGAAUGGAAAGAAGUUUGGAGCUGCUCAAGGGCUACAAAUGCCAUGCUAGGAAGUUCACUUCAUCCUUUGGGAAGAUAAUGGAGAUGCAACAGAACUUUUAUGUAUAUUCAUAUAUUUUAAUAUAUUAUU